AAGUAAUUGAUUUCGGUCUGUCCACAUACGAACGAAACCCAACAAAGUUUUGUGGAACUUUAUCAUUUCUUUGUCCGGAAAUUCUACAGAGGAAGCCUUAUGAUUCCUAUUGUGACUGGUGGGCGUUCGCCAUCGUAUUAUUUCAAGCGUUGGUUGGAACAACACCUCUGCAAAUUUAUGUAAAAGAAGCAUUUAAUAUUGAUAAUGUGUAUUUAUUGCCCCGUUACUACUGGAUAAGAGUUGCUGUAGCUGCUGUAAAUGUGCCGGUGUCCUAUCCUGCUACAUUAUCGGAUGAUGCCAAACAUUUUAUUAACGAUUUAUUGCAAAAGGACCCAUACAGACGUCCUCUAGAAGCAGAUAUUCUGAAACACAAGUAUUUUAAUGAAGUGCCUUGAUCCGUAAUUACUGGGUUUUGAACCGAAGAGAUUCCAAAUAGAGUUAUAAAAUAAAGAACUAUUGAAUAAAGAAUUUCUUCAAUUUCAUUUGGCUUUCAUUUGGCCAAAGUUUUUUCUUUUUAAUUUUAAUUUUAAGUGAAUC
rnacentral:lncRNA from 1 species